UCAGGCUGGUGCUGGUUUACUGGAAAUUCUAGGGGUGGUACAUGUGCUGAAAGACUUUUAGUUUUGAAGGAAAGUAAAGUGGAAGAUAAACCAAGUAUAUAAUUUCUAAGAAAUGGACCUUUUUGGGGCUGGGUGCAGUGGCUCAUGC